GAUGAACGCUGGCGGCGUGCUAACACAUGCAAGUCGAGCGAUCUUCUUCGGAAGAGAGCGGCGGACGGGUGAGUAACGCGUGGGUAACCUGCCCUGUACACACGGAUAACAUACCGAAAGGUAUGCUAAUACGGGAUGAUAUAUGAAAGUCGCAUGGCUUUUAUAUCAAAGCUCUGGCGGUACAGGAUGGACCCGCGUCUGAUUAGCUAGUUGGUAAGGUAACGGCUUACCAAGGCGACGAUCAGUAGCCGACCUGAGAGGGUGAUCGGCCACACUGGAACUGAGACACGGUCCAGACUCCUACGGGAGGCAGCAGUGGGGAAUAUUGCACAAUGGGCGAAAGCCUGAUGCAGCAACGCCGCGUGAGCGAUGAAGGCCUUCGGGUCGUAAAGCUCUGUCCUCAAGGAAGAUAAUGACGGUACUUGAGGAGGAAGCCCCGGCUAACUACGUGCCAGCAGCCGCGGUAAUACGUAGGGGGCUAGCGUUAUCCGGAAUUACUGGGCGUAAAGGGUGCGUAGGCGGUCUUUCAAGCCAGAAGUGAAAGGCUACGGCUCAACCGUAGUAAGCUUUUGGAACUGUAGGACUUGAGUGCAGGAGAGGAGAGUAGAAUUCCUAGUGUAGCGGUGAAAUGCGUAGAUAUUAGGAGGAAUACCAGUAGCGAAGGCGGCUCUCUGGACUGUAACUGACGCUGAGGCACGAAAGCGUGGGGAGCAAACAGG
rnacentral:rRNA from 1 species